rnacentral:lncRNA from 1 species
UUAUAAUGUCAUUUACCAUGUUUUGAGUGAACUAUGCAUGUUGUGUGUGAUUGUAUAACAUGCUUUUUAUACCUAGCUCACCCUUGCUUGUUUGUGUUGCUUGUGUAUGUUCCCUUUUACGAUGAUCAUCCACUUGAAUGUGAGCAGAUGUUGAAGAGGUCCCCUUGGAGCAAGAGCUUGAGAAUGCUGACGUUGCAGUCUAGUUCCUU